rnacentral:rRNA from 1 species
GAUGAACGCUAGCUACAGGCUUAACACAUGCAAGUCGAGGGGCAGCAUGGUCUUAGCUUGCUAAGGCCGAUGGCGACCGGCACACGGGUGAGUAACACGUAUCCAACCUGCCGUCUACUCUUGGACAGCCUUCUGAAAGGAAGAUUAAUACAAGAUGGCAUCAUGAGUCCGCAUGUUCACAUGAUUAAAGGUAUUCCGGUAGACGAUGGGGAUGCGUUCCAUUAGAUAGUAGGCGGGGUAACGGCCCACCUAGUCUUCGAUGGAUAGGGGUUCUGAGAGGAAGGUCCCCCACAUUGGAACUGAGACACGGUCCAAACGCCUACGGGAGGCAGCAGUGAGGAAUAUUGGUCAAUGGGCGAGAGCCUGAACCAGCCAAGUAGCGUGAAGGAUGACUGCCCUAUGGGUUGUAAACUUCUUUUAGAAAGGAAUAAAGUCGGGUAUGGAUACCCGUUUGCAUGUACUUGAUGAAUAAGGAUCGGCUAACUCCGUG